rnacentral:rRNA from 1 species
UAGCCUUGACAUUGAAGAAACACACUAGAGAUAGAGUGGUACCCUUCGGGGAAUCUGAAAACAGGUGCUGCACGGCUGUCGUCAGCUCGUGUCGUGAGAUGUUGGGUUAAGUCCCGCAACGAGCGCAACCCUCGUCCUUAGUUGCCAGCAGGUUAAGCUGGGCACUCUAAGGAGACUGCCUUCGUAAGGAGGAGGAAGGUGAGGACGACGUCAAGUCAUCAUGGCCCUUAUGGCUAGGGCUACACACGUGCUACAAUGGGGCGUACAGAGAGUUGCGAUACCGUGAGGUGGAGCCAAUCUCAUAAAGCGUCUCUCAGUUCGGAUUGAAGUCUGCAACUCGACUUCAUGAAGCUGGAAUCACUAGUAAUCGUAGAUCAGCAAUGCUACGGUGAAUACGUUCCCGGGUCU